rnacentral:misc_RNA from 1 species
UUUAUACCGCUAGAAGAAGAGGAAAGUCCCGAUCGGUGAAGAAAUAGUGUGAAAGACAGCGAUGUUGAGAGUGAAUGUUAGUGGCAUAUGAUGUUUCGUUUUUCAUAUUCGAUAUUGAUCUCUAAACUUAAUUUCUAGGUAUAACAAAUUUUCUGUUAAGAUACAUUUUAAGUGCUCUUUUUUUUUAUUCAUGUAUCUGUUUUUAAAAGUCAUUUUAAGUUAAUGUAUUUAUUUCACCAUAAAUGUUGAAGGUAAAAACAUCAUCAAACCCUGAUUUAAAAAUGUUUGUAGAGAAAACCAAGUUAAAAUUCGAAGUGGCAUUAAUAUAUUUCAAUACCACGUUUUGGAAUAUUCCAAGCAAUCAUGAGGAAUUUUUGUGUUACCUUCUGUAAUUUGGAAAGUUUCAGUCUGUUUAUAUGAGAGUGUGUUAGUCUUUAGAAGAUUGUAUGUUUAAAUGUAUUUUCCCAGGCCAUUCCAGUUUUUAUGUUUGUUACAUAUUUAUUUUAUGAGGAUUUAGAAUGUUGUAUUGGGAAAAUAUUAUAAUGUGCUAACCUAGUCAGAAACAUCAUAUAUUUUAAUCUAAUUCGGACAUGUUGUUUUAGCAAGUCCCUUUAAGUUUUCCAGUGUUAAUGAUACCAGUUUUUGAUGAUAAGAGUUCUUGUCCUGGACAUAGAAGGUAUAUUAAAUCUGUUAGUUUUCAGAUAAUCUGUGGAAACAGCAAAACUAUCUUGAUAAUCUUGGCACAGGAGUGCUUGGUUUACUUUACUUUCCCAAAGGCUGUUGUAUUUUUAUGUUAUAGAUUUUUUCUUUUCAAAUCAAUACUAGAAAUUAUCUAGUUUCAAAAAAGUAGAGGACAUUUUUUGUCGAUUUGUUUGGAACAUUCCAUAACCAUGUGUUUUGUGCAUCUAAAGAUAUCUGUUAUUCAAUAGUACUCAUGAUUGAACAUGACCCAGUCAUUUUUGUAAACUGAUUGAUAUAUGUACUUCCAAGUCCAUUCAUGUUUUAGACCCUGUCCUCUUGUUUUCUGAUGAAAAUUGUUUAAACCUUUUUUAAAAAGGGUAUAAAUGAAAGACUAAAAAAUUAAUGAGUGAUUUUACCAUGUGGAGUGAUCUUUAUCUACGCAUUGAUCUUGUACUAAAAUGGUGCCAUUUGAGACAGAUAUGCUUUUAACUUUUGUGCCACUUGUCUUGUCUGGAUGAUAUACAAACACUAAAAUUCAAUUUACAUAGCAUUUUGCAUAACAUUGCACAAUACCUAAAACUAAAGCCAUUCCUAAUUCCAUGUACAUUCCUCUUUAAGCUUUAUGUUAAUGUAGUUUUUAAUACUUUCCACAUGUUUCAGAAAUGAAUACUUGUUUUUUUUAUAUAUUUAUAUUUAUAUGAUGUGAAUUAUUCUAAAAUUUUACAGGUAACAAUUCUUACAUUCUUCAUUUUGAAAUACUUUUUAUGUUUGUUAAUCUUAAUGUAUAGACAUGCAUGUAUUGUAUUUCCGUCCUAGAGAGAUUUUAUCUGUAGAAAUGGACUCUUAAAUGUACUCUGCCUGUUAAAUGUAAUAUACAUGUUAUAAGAUUGCCCCCCAAAAUUCACCAACUUUAUUUCGAAAACAAUUCAGAAGGCAUUAACAGGAAAAUUCUGAUUGUUAACAAAACGGGCAAUUCCAUUUUUAAUGUUGAUCUUGUUUUGGACACCAGUCAUAAAAAGACCUCUAGUCAUCAUAAUAGCAAUGUUUCUCUUGCAGCAGGAUAUUUUAUGAAGUAAUACUUUUCAUCUUUGUUUAGCCAUCAGCAAAGGAUAUCCUAUUUCCAUUGUUAGAAAAGCUCCCCAUGUCAUUAUGUUUUGUCUCUUUGCAUAUCCGUUUGAAUAUUCAUGAUUCAAUUUCCCAGCAUGCAUUAUUGUGUUGUGUCACUAAUCAUACUAAUUAUUAUAUAUAUACAUAUUUAUGAUUUGUUUUUAAUGAUUAACAGUGCAAUAUAGUUAUAGUCAAGAUAUCUACAACAUAUUUGAUUUGUUUGUUUUUACAGUUUGAAUAAACUAACAUUUUUUUUACAGAUC